rnacentral:rRNA from 1 species
GAUGAACGCUAGCGGCAGGCUUAAUACAUGCAAGUCGUGGGGUAAGCUUUGGUAGUAAUACUAGAGCCUAGACCGGCAAACGGGUGCGGAACACGUACACAACCUUCCUCAUAGUGGGGGAUAGCCCAGGGAAACUUGGAUUAAUACCCCGUAACAUAUUUUAAAGGCAUCUUUUGAAUAUUAUAGCAGCAAUGCGCUAAGAGACGGGUGUGCGUAUGAUUAGGUAGUUGGCGGAGUAAUGGCCCACCAAGCCUACGAUCAUUAACUGGUGUGAGAGCACGACCAGUCACACGGGCACUGAGACACGGGCCCGACUCCUACGGGAGGCAGCAGUAAGGAAUAUUGGUCAAUGGAGGAAACUCUGAACCAGCCAUGCCGCGUGGAGGAUGAAGGUCCUCUGGAUUGUAAACUUCUUUUAUAUGGGACGAAAAAAGGGUUUUCUAACUCGUCUGACGGUACCAUAUGAAUAAGCACCGGCUAACUCCGUG